CCUACGGGAGGCAGCAGUGGGGAAUAUUGCACAAUGGGGGAAACCCUGAUGCAGCGACGCCGCGUGAGUGAAGAAGUAAUUCGUUAUGUAAAGCUCUAUCAGCAGGGAAGAAAAUGACGGUACCUGAGUAAGAAGCCCCGGCUAACUACGUGCCAGCAGCCGCGGUAAAACGGGGGGGGCAAGCGUUAUCCGGAUGUACUGGGUGUAAAGGGAGCGUAGACGGCAGUGCAAGUCUGGAGUUAAAGGCGGGGGCUCAACCCCCGGGCUGCUCUGGAAACUGUCCGGCUGGAGUGAAGGAGAGGUAAGUGGAAUGCGUAGUGUAGCGGUGAAAUGCGUAGAUAUUACGCAGAACCC
rnacentral:rRNA from 1 species